rnacentral:lncRNA from 1 species
GAUUGUAAAUAGUCCUUUAAGUGAAUUGCUCAGAAUUAGGGAGAAUGCUGGUAGCUGGGUUGGGACUGCAGCUUCUUUCGGAUUUAAGUCUAACGAUGUAACCUGUUUAUUAUCACCUUACGUAGCGCUCUAGUGAUGAUACAUGGCCCAGCUUGGAGUGAUGAGAGUGAUGACCUCCUAGUAUAAGAGUUGAGUGAGGUUCUCCGCUUCUGUCUGAAGCCUCUGCUUAGUUUUCUCUGGGCUGCCAACACAGGCUUGGACUGAUUCAGCUGUCUGCUCUGCUUCCUGAAGCCUCACAGCCGACAUUGUCCUGAGGGAAGGAGGGCAGAAAUAUCUUGUGUGCUUCUGAAUUGGGAACCUUCUAACAAAUCUCGGAUCACCUUCCCCUGCAAGAUCUGGCCUGCUUAUGAGCAUGGAGAAACCGCUGAAGAAGUGUCGUCUUUAGAAAGUCCCAGUGACAUGUCUGUGUCUGAGGAAAGCAAGAUGCUCAGAUGCUGGUGUAUGGGAAGCUGUCUGACCUUGGGGCAGUUGUUGCAACACCAGCCUCUUCCACGCAGUUGGUCGACAGGAUUUUUUUUUUUUCCUGGGAGAGAUCUACAGCUGGGAAUACUCAGCCAAGAAAAUGGGAAAGGCCUGGCCAUGUGUUCCAGGAGACAACUGCUGUUAUCUGCAGUAUGCGUUCCAGCGAUCUUGCUCUGAAGCACAAGUAUCUUGUACUCCCUGUGGAGCUCUGUGUUAGGAUUUAUGUCAGCAAGUCUUGCUGGCCAAGGUGGUCUCCAGCCCUUCGAAGUCACAUUUCAAGUCACUGA